UUGAGAGCUUCUCUCUCUAAACCUAGAGAGAGAAUGCACUCCCUUAGUCAAAAAUCUACCACAAAUCCGGUUCUGAGUUUUACAGCUCAAAUCGGAAACAUUUAUCUCUCUAAUUCCUUCUUCGGAGGGUUCUAUAGACCCAAGCUCUGAAUCUGGCCUGUCAUGGUCGAACCAGAAUCAGUCCGCACCAUUCAUCCGGGUCAGAGUACACCCCGUGGACCGAGGUCCACAAUAGUUAAGAGAGCUGGAGAGUCCAUCGGAGGGCUGCCAAACCCACCGCUGGACAUUCGACCGGCAUCGCAGAGACUACCCAGGAGCCACUGGGCUCCAUUUCAUCUUCACGGAGAAGACCCAGAGCUCCUUCCUCAUGGGUCCUUUUCUCGGCACAAGAAACCACUGAUGACCCUAUCAGAUCCGGCGUAGCUUAGCAGCCAUCCCAGCGCACGUCGGAGAGCAGCUGCUCGUCAGAAUCAGUGGUGUCCGGUCCAGCUCUGGUGGACCUUACGCCCACAAACCUCGGCGUUCUCCGGCGAUGGUGACCUCGGGUUGCUGCCAAGACAUGGGGGUGUUCUUCGGGCCGACCCUAGUUCCUAGGUUGGAACUACACAGGGGCUGUUCAUCAUUCCCAGAUUGAAGGUAUGAACGAUUGAAGAAAUCUAUGUUUUGGGCCGACUAACUGGCUGUAUUAUUAUUAGUACUUGUAGAUUCAUUUUUAAACACUCGAUUGGGUAGUCAUCUGUUGGACUGAAAUCGGGUUAAUCUAUUUGGAAGACAUUUGUUUAAAUCUAUGUGAUUGAGUUCCCUAGUUGAUUCCAGUAGACCAGUUUGGGAUUUACAGUAGACCAGUUCGGGUUAAUCUGUCCUGGUAUUUUACAGUAGACCAGUUUGGGAUACAUUAUGAUCUUUAAUUGGAUUGUGACGGUUUCAUCUGGACAAAA